rnacentral:rRNA from 1 species
ACUCUGUUGUUAGGGAAGAACAAGUAUCGGAGUAACUGCCGGUACCUUGACGGUACCUAACCAGAAAGCCACGGCUAACUACGUGCCAGCAGCCGCGGUAAUACGUAGGUGGCAAGCGUUGUCCGGAAUUAUUGGGCGUAAAGCGCGCGCAGGCGGUUCUUUAAGUCUGAUGUGAAAGCCCCCGGCUCAACCGGGGAGGGUCAUUGGAAACUGGGGAACUUGAGUGCAGAAGAGGAAAGCGGAAUUCCACGUGUAGCGGUGAAAUGCGUAGAGAUGUGGAGGAACACCAGUGGCGAAGGCGGCUUUCUGGUCUGUAACUGACGCUGAGGCGCGAAAGCGUGGGGAGCAAACAGGAUUAGAUACCCUGGUAGUCCACGCCGUAAACGAUGAGUGCUAAGUGUUAGAGGGUUUCCGCCCUUUAGUGCUGCAGCUAACGCAUUAAGCACUCCGCCUGGGGAGUACGGCCGCAAGGCUGAAACUCUG